CUCAGUCUGUACUUUAACUCAGCACUCCUCCUUCUCUCCUGCAGCCAUGAAGCUCCUACCAGCCCUGCUGCUCCUCACAGCUCUCACUCUCUCAGGUGUUCAGUGUGAGAUUGUCCUGACAGAAUCUGAAGCGGUGGUAAAGAGACCAGGAGACUCUCACACACUGACCUGUACAGCCUCUGGGUUCACAUUCAGCAGCUACUGGAUGGGCUGGGUCAGACAGGCUCCUGGGAAGGGACUGGAGUGGUUGGGAUAUCAGUAUAGCAGCACUAGAUAUUAUGCCCAGUCUGUUCAGGGAAGAUUCACCAUCUCCAGAGACGACUCCAACAGCAAGCUGCAUUUACAGAUGAACAGCCUGACAGCUGAAGACACUGCUGUGUAUUACUGUGCCAGAGACCCACAGUGA